CGUAUAGAACCAUAGAACCAGAGUUACGUACCACUCUGGAGGUCGUAUAGAACCAUAGAACCAGAGUUACGUACCACUCUGGAGGUCGUAUAGAACCAUAGAACCAGAGUUACGUACCACUCUGGAGGUCGUAUAGAACCAUAGAACCAGAGUUACGUACCACUCUGGAGGUCGUAUAGAACCAUAGAACCAGAGUUACGUACCACUCUGGAGGUCGUAUAGAACCAUAGAACCAG